rnacentral:rRNA from 1 species
GUCCACGCCGUAAACGAUGAGUGCUAGACGUUGGGAGGCUUAGCCUUUCGGUGUCGCAGCUAACGCAUUAAGCACUCCGCCUGGGGAGUACGGCCGCAAGGUUAAAACUCAAAAGGAAUUGACGGGGGCCCCGCACAAGCGGUGGAGCAUGUGGUUUAAUUCGAAGCAACGCGUAAGAACCUUACCAGCCCUUGACAUGGGGAGUGUGAGCCCGAGAGAUUGGGUUCUUCAGUUCGGCUGGCUCCCACACAGGUGCUGCAUGGCUGUCGU